ACAUCCGCUGACCGCCUAGGAGACUAGGCUUUCCCUUCGGGGACGAGCGGUGACAGGUGGUGCAUGGUUGUCGUCAGCUCGUGUCGUGAGAUGUUGGGUUAAGUCCCGCAACGAGCGCAACCCUUGAUCUUAGUUGCCAGCAUUCAGUUGGGCACUCUAAGGUGACUGCCGGUGACAAACCGGAGGAAGGUGAGGACGACGUCAAGUCAUCAUGGCCCUUACGGCCAGGGCUACACACGUGCUACAAUGGGGCGUACAGAGAGCUGCGAUACCGCGAGGUGGAGCCAAUCUCUUAAAGCGUCUCUCAGUUCGGAUUGUUCUCUGCAACUCGAGAACAUGAAGCUGGAAUCACUAGUAAUCGCAGAUCAGCUAUGCUGCGGUGAAUACGCUCCCGGGUCUU
rnacentral:rRNA from 1 species